AACGAACGCUGGCGGCAUGCCUAACACAUGCAAGUCGAACGAGACCUUCGGGUCUAGUGGCGCACGGGUGCGUAACGCGUGGGAACCUGCCCUUAGGUUCGGAAUAACUCCCCGAAAGGGGUGCUAAUACCGGAUAAUGUCUUCGGACCAAGGAUUUAUCGCCUUUGGAUGGGCCCGCGUUGGAUUAGCUAGUUGGUAGGGUAAAAGCCUACCAAGGCGACGAUCCAUAGCUGGUCUGAGAGGAUGAUCAGCCACACUGGGACUGAGACACGGCCCAGACUCCUACGGGAGGCAGCAGUGGGGAAUAGUGGAAAAUGGGCGAAAGCAUGAUCCAGCAAUGACGCGUGAGUGAUGAAGGCAUUAGGGUUGUAAAGCUCUUUUACCCGGGAUGAUAAUGACAGUACCGGGAGAAUAAGCUCCGGCUAACUCCGUG
rnacentral:rRNA from 1 species